UACAGAGGUCUCAAGCGUUGUUCGGAUUCAUUGGGCGUAAAGGGUGCGUAGGCGGCGCGGUAAGUCGGGUGUGAAAUCUCGGAGCUUAACUCCGAAACUGCAUUCGAUACUGCCGUGCUUGAGGACUGGAGAGGAGACUGGAAUUUACGGUGUAGCGGUGAAAUGCGUAGAGAUCGGGAGGAACACCCGUGGCGAAGGCGGCCAGCUGGGCCGUCCCUGACGCUGAGGAGCGAAAGCGUGGGGAGCAAACAGGA
rnacentral:rRNA from 1 species